CACUAGGAGGGCGGGCGCCGCGGCGGUGGCGGCGGCAGCGGCGGCGGCGGUGAGGGCUGUGGCCGCGGGAAGUGAAUGGUUUUACCCAGAGGGCCCUGCGCCGCUUUUCUCCGCUGGCGCCGGCGCUGCUCCCUGCUCCUCCCCGGCCAUGGCGUUCACGUUCGCGGCCUUCUGUUACAUGCUGGCGCUGCUGCUUACUGCAGCGCUCAUCUUCUUCGCCAUUUGGCACAUUAUAGCAUUUGAUGAGCUGAAGACUGAUUACAAGAAUCCUAUAGACCAGUGUAAUACCCUGAAUCCUCUUGUCCUUCCAGAGUACCUCAUCCAUGCUUUCUUCUGUGUCAUGUUUCUUUGUGCUGCAGAGUGGCUUACCUUGGGUCUCAAUAUGCCCCUCUUGGCAUAUCAUAUUUGGAGGUAUAUGAGUAGACCAGUGAUGAGUGGACCAGGACUCUAUGACCCUACAACCAUCAUGAAUGCAGAUAUUCUAGCUUAUUGUCAGAAAGAAGGAUGGUGCAAAUUAGCUUUUUAUCUUCUAGCAUUUUUUUACUACCUAUAUGGCAUGAUCUAUGUUUUGGUGAGCUCUUAGAACAACACUCAGAAGAAUUGGUCCAGUUAAGUGCAUGCAAAAAGCCACCAAAUGAAGGGAUUCUAUCCAGCAAGAUCCUGUUUCCAAGAGUAGCCUAUGGAAUCUGAUCAGUUACUUUAAAAAAUGACUCCUUAUUUUUUAAAUGUUUCCACAUUUUUUGCUUGUGGAAAGACUGUUUUCAUAUGUUAUACUCGGAUAAAGAAUUUAAAUGGAAUUACAUAUAAAUUAAUAUAAAAUGAUACCUCUGGUGUGGACAGGUUUGAACUUGCACUCCUUAAGGAACAGCCAUAAUCCCUUGAAUGAUUGCAUUAAUUAUUGACUGUCUUUAGUCCAUUGGAAGCUUUUGUUUUUAGGAACUUAUAGGGCUCAUUUUGGUUUUACUGAAAUGCCAUUUAAUUAUAAAUUAGCUGUAGAUAUCAGGUGCUUCUGAUGAACUGAAAAUAUAUAUCUGACCUGUGGGAAACUUCGGGUUUCCGCAUCUAUCAUGUAGGUGAUUAUAUAUGGAUAAAUUAAAAAAAAAAUGAGUGGGGUUUUUUCCCCCUUAGACUUGAAAUAUUAUUCCUAUAUUGCAUGAAUGAGAGAUUUCCAUAUUUCCACCAGAGUAAUAUACUUGCUUUAAUUCUUAAGCAUAAUUGAACAAGAUACAAAAAUAUAUGCUGACUUACUUGUGAAGAAUGCAUUUAAAGCUUUUUAAAUGUGUUUUAAUUUGUGAGACAUUACUUAUUAAGAAGUUGGUAAUAACUACACAUAAUUGUUCUAAUCUGGUGGUAAAGGUAUUCUUAAGAAUUUGCAAGUACUUUAGAUUUUCAAAACUGAAUGAGAGAGAACAUUGUAUAACCGUCCUGCUGUUCCUUUAGUGCAAUACAAUAAAACUCUGAAAUUAAGACUUAUUUUCAGUGCAUUGUUUUAAAGAUUACAAAUAGCUAUUUCUUAAACUUGCUUAUUCCAAAUAAAGACAUCACUGUCAGUUUUUUAAAAAGAUAAUAGAGUGUUACAUUGUGGGUUUAUUUUUGUUUUUAAAUACCAUGCUUGGAUCUGAGAAGGGUGAUUUUUUUUUUUUUUUAAAUGGUUAAGUACAUCCCACCCUCUUGUCACUUGGCAAAAUUCAUAAACACUAAUGACACAGCAUCUUCAUUUUUCUUACCACUUUAAAAAAUUAUUGUGAAACUUAAAAUGUUUAAAAUAUUUUUUUUCCUUUUUGAAACAGCAGGUUUUAAGGUUAAAUGACUUAAAAUUUGUUGCUUUUUUUUUUUUUUGCUGCUGCUAAGGCAGGUACAUGAUGGCUUGCAUGUUUUCGUAAGCAUUCUUGUGCUUUAUUUAGAAUGAGGAAGUUGAGGCAAUUGACAACAGUGUAAGUAGUUCAAAGUUUCUUAAAAGAUCAAAGAAAGAAAACUACUGUAUAUACAAAUUUCACAUAAUGAUCAAGGGAGUUUAUGGAUGUGUUUAUGGAAGUCUUACACCAAGUACCCCUUGAAUUAGAUGUUUUAUUCUCUACUAGUGAAAAAAUGCUUUCCACCUUUGGGGGAGUGGCUGUUACUGAUAGGGUAAUGGAGGUGAACAUGUUGAAGGAGGAGGUAGAACCAGAGGAGUGAGGGUAGGUAGUCAAACGUUUCAUGAGAGAAGCUUGAAAGCCCCUGUAUUUUGUGGUCUGGAGGAGACCUGGAAGGAUCUGACUGUUCAUCAGUUCAUGCAGCAUAUUGUUUAUUGAGCCCUUGCUAGCACUGAGGACUCACAGUCUGAGUAUAAGCAAACAUUUAGUUUCUUUUCCACCCACUUGUACUAGUGUUGCACCCCUCUUCUUGUUCACAAGUACUUUGAUCAUGAGAGACCUGGCUAAGCCUUCUAGGCUUCAGAUAGGUUUUGUGGGGCAGCUGUUUCUUCAUUCCUGUCAAAGUAUUUUCAUGAGCUCCUGCUGUCUUCUGAGUUUUAACAAACAUCCCUUUAUUCUCCAGGAUUAAUAAUGCCAGGUGUACUGGUUGGAAUUUGUGGAAGCACCUUUCUCAUGCUUCAGAAAUUAGAUAUGUAGUUGUUAGCUGAUUCCUCAGAGGUGACUGACAGUGAGAUUCACCCACCUCAGUGGUAGGUUGUUAGUUCCUAGGCAUGUAAGUGAUUAGAAGAUUGGGUACCCGGAUGCUGUCCUAAUACCUACUUAUCUUUACCUUUGCCAGUGUUUUAUGAAAUUAAGUCACUUAGAAGAGAAAGCAGAAACAUAAUAUUUGUAUUUGACAGUAAGCAGCUGGCUCUUUUCCUUGCUCUGAAUUUGAUUUGUUCCUCCUGUUAAUAUGGUUUAGGUGGUCCUAGCCCUGUUUCUCUUAGUCCUGUAUGCCCAGCUGAAACAUAGCCUGGGUCUGUAAUCCUUUCCAAUUUAGCCAGACUGCACCCUGGGCAGCCACAGUUGUUUAUUUAGGAAUUGUUUUUUCCCUUGUUAAAAUUACUUUUGCUAUACUGUGUUUUGAUUGAUCUUUAAGAGCUUUCCAACACUCUGAAACCAUUAGUGUAGCAUGAUGUGGUUUAUACCUGUAUCAGCAACUCCUUGUUGCUGUUGGUACUACAGAUUCUCCUACAUUAAAGUCUUGAUAACAAGUGUAGUCUAUUUAGUAUCUCUUCUAUUAAGUAAUAAUAGUGUAUCAUGGCAGUAUAUCCCAGUAGUGCUAAGGAGGUAUAGGGGUAGAAACUUUCCUGAAUGCCCAAAUCUGGAUUUUAUUAAUAACGUCUGAUGAUUUUCGCAAUAUUUAACUGAUACUUCCCACUCCCUAUCCCAGAGUAAAGGAGAGUUUAAAAUUUUUUUUGUUGUUGUCUUUUAGCCUUUUUCUAGGGCCGCUCCCGCAGCAUAUGGAGCUUCCCAGGCUAGGGGUCCAAUCAAAGCUGUAGACGCCGGCCUAUGUCAGAGCCACAGCGCCGCAUCUGAGACCUACACCACAGCUCACGGCAACACCGGAUCCCUAACCCCCUGAGCAAGGCCAGGGAUCGAACCUGCAACCUCAUGGUUCCUAGUCGGGUUCAUUAACCACUGCGCCACGAGGGGAACUCCAAUGUUUAAAAUAUUUUUUAAACAUGGAGCUUUGCUUUGCUCUGCAGAUCAACAGUGUGUAUUUUGAAAAUUUGUCACAUAAUUGCAUAGGAAAGAAAUAGAGAUGUAGAUACAUUUUGAAACUAGCAAAUCACUUUCCUUGGUAUAACACUUCUCUUUUCCCCCAUAUUAUAUAUUUAUGAACAGUAUUCAUGGAUUAUUAUUGCCACAGUACUAAGAAUGGCUUCUGUGGAUUUCUUAUACCUUGCAGGGGAGUGGGCUUUCAUCUUAGGCGUGGUUACAUUCUAGCAGUGUGAUAUGUCAAGCCCAUGAAAAUAACCUGUAUUCAAAAGUAUACAUCCAAUUUACUUAUAUCAUGUAACACUCCAAAUGUGCAUCUUUCAGUUGUACAGUAUAAUUGUAAGAAGAUUUGACAGCUAAAAUAUUUUAAAACAGCUCUUUCAAAGGGGAAAGAUAAAAAUAUCAGUACCUUGUCCAACAUUGUUCCUGAAAGUAUCCAUAUUCAUCCUUUGAGGAAGCUAUCAACAAUGUUAAUCUCAAAUAAUUUAAGCUCUUUUGCUGAAAUCAGGCAUUGAUCUCUGGUCAGACCAGCAGCUGAUGAGUCUGGCACUAGUGUUACAGCUUAGCAGAUGGUUCUGAACUAAUAUUCCGGGGUGGUGCCAAGGGAGAAAAUGGAGUUCUGUUUCUGGAUAUGUCCAGUAGCUUUCUUAGAACAGUUUUACUUUGAUUAAAAUUAAGUUUUAAAGUUAAAUGUCUACAAGGAGUAAACAACUCUGCUGCUUGUUCUGCUUGAUUUUGGCAAAUAGUAUUAACCACGUAUGGUGUUGUGUGGGAUUUGAGUGAAGGUUUUACCUUACUUCAGUCUUACUAAUGAACAUGGUGGGAGAUGAAGAGAACACCUAGACAUGGAAAAGACUAAGUUAAUUUUUAGAGUACAAUGCUUUUCCUAAGUAUAAUAAACAUUUGGUUACUAUGUUUGUGUAUUCUGGGGAGGAAAAAUUUGAAUAAUGAUGACUAGGUAGACCUUAAAACUACUAAGGGAGACACAGAAUAUAGUUAGCUGUCUAUGCUCAUGUUUUGUUAAUCUAAGUUAACCUUAAUGGUGCUGUACCACCGUCCAAAGACAAUGCCCUUAUGUUGUCCUCCCUUCUUAGAGACUGCUUGCUUUAUUUUGCUUUUGUAUAUUUAAUAAAAACUGUCUCAAAUGUU